rnacentral:SRP_RNA from 1 species
GGUAGCCCUGCUGGUGGCUUCGCAAUUGUACUCUGUGAACCCCGCCAGGACCGGAAGGUAGCAACGGUAGCAGAUCUAUAAUGUGCCGAGGUUUUGCUAGUAGGGUUACCACCAUUU